GUGGAAAAAGAGAAUUCAUAUAGUCGACUCCAAUAAAUAUUUGGAACAAAAGCUUAGUUGAGUUGAGUAGAAGCAUUCUGCAUCAUUAAUGGAUAAUGAUCAAAUCCAGAAUGUUUUUGGUACCUGUCUAAAUGAAUGAACUGGGCUGAGUAAUGGCUCUGUUUCUCAUCUAGCCAUUUGCUAGGAUUACUUCUUCCUUUCUUAAGUGAUAAAUUCAUUAGAAGAAUUGCUCAAAAGGUGAUGUUUCCAAGUACACGAGGCAUUGUUACAGUUGUUUGUAAGAAAUGCACUGUAACUUUUAGAAAUUGAAUAAGCUUAGCUGCAGAAAAAAAAAUGCAUAUAUGUUUUCUUUUAGUUUACUUUGUUUGGGGAAGAGAAGAGGGGG
rnacentral:misc_RNA from 1 species